rnacentral:tRNA from 2 species
CGGAGUGUAGCUCAGCCUGGUAGAGCACUGUCUUCGGGAGGCAGGGGUCGUUGGUUCGAAUCCAGCCACUCCGACCA